rnacentral:lncRNA from 1 species
UCCAACAGAGUUCUAUACUGUCCAGUUCUGUGAGUUGGGAUCAGUGCAUGCAAUUGUGUAGACACCACCACAGUCAAGUAAGGAGAGGGUCCAUCAUUGCUCGGUUGUAAUCAGCCUGCCCUUCAACUCAGCCUGUGGCAGCCAUUGGUUACCCCUGUUUUAUCUUGUACAGAAUGUUAUAUACAUGAAAUCAUAUUAUACAUAGCCAUUUAAUUCUGACUUCUUUCCCUUAACACAUAUGAUGUUUCCCAUGUUGUUCUAUGUAUUUACUGAAACUUUUUAAAUUCUUUUUUUGGGGGGGUACCAGGGAUUGAACUCAGGGGCACUCAACCACUGAGCCAUAUCCCCAGUCCUAUUUUGUACUUUAUUUAGAGACAGGGUCUCACUCAGUUGCUUAGCGCCUCACUAAGUUGCUGAGUCUGGCUUUGAACCUGCAAUCCUCCUGCCUCAGCCUCCCGAGCCACUGGGAUUGCCUUGCUGCAAAUACAGCUGGAUACAGUACCCACGGAAGAGAAAACAGAGUCAAGCCCAGCAGAACAACAGUCCUG